AAUCUAACUAAAGAGGUGAAAGACCUCUAUAAUAAAAGCUACAGAACACUAAAGAAAGAAAUUGAAGAAGAUCUUAGAAAAUGGAAAGACCUCCCAUUCUUGGGUGGGCAGCAUUAAUAUUGCCAAAUGGCCAUCCUGCCAAAAGCACUAUGCAGAUAUGAUGCAAUUUCUAGUGGAAUUCUGAUGUCAUUCUUCAUGGAAAUAAAAAAGCAGUCAUGAAAUUCAUUUGGAAAAAUAAGAGGCCCAGAAUAGCUAAAGAAAUCCUCAGUGAGAAAAGUGGAGCAGGAGGCAUCCACUUAAAUUAUACUACAGAGCUAUUGUAACAGAAAUGGCAUGCUAUUGGUAUAAAAAGACAUGAAGACUAAUGGAACAAAAUAGAAGACACCGAGACAAACACAUAAACGCAGGUAUCAUACUAGACAAAGGUGCCGUGAAAAUACAUUGGAGAAAAGAUCCCUCUUUAACAAAUGGUGCUGGGAAAACUGGAAAUCCAUAUGAAUGAAAUUGAACCCAUAUAUCUCACUUUGCACAAAACUCAAAGUGGGUCUAGGAUCUAGGCAUUAAACCAGAGACCCUGUGCCUACUAGAAGAAAAUAUAGGCCCUACUCUUCAUCAUAUUGGCUUAGGAACUGACUUUUUCAAUAAGACUCCUAAAGUGCAAGAAGUAAAAUCAAGACUCAAUAAAUAGGAUGGUAUCAAACUAAAAAGCUUCUUCACAGCAAAGGAAACAAUCAUGAACGUAAAGAGAAAGUCUACAGAAUGGGAGAAAAUCUUUGCUGCCUUCACCUCACAUAGAGCAUUAAUCUCCAAGAUAUAUAAAAAACUCAAAAAAUUUAAUACCAAAAAAAUCCAAAUAGCCCAAUCAAUAUAUAGGCAAAAGAAACUGAACAGACACUUCACAGAAGAGAUACAAAUGGUCAAGAAAUAUGUGAAAAAAAUUUCAAUAUCUCUAGCAAUUAGAGAAAUGCAAAUGGAAACUACACUGAGAUUUCAUCACACUCCAGUCAGAAUGGAAGUUAUCAAGAAUACAAGUAACAGGCCUGUGGUUGUGGCUCAGUGGUAGAGCGCUUGCCUGUCAUGUGUGAGGCACUGGGUUUGAUUCUCAGCAUCACAUACAAAUAAGAAAUUAAAAAUAAGGUUCUUCC
rnacentral:lncRNA from 1 species